rnacentral:rRNA from 1 species
ACCGUACUCCUACGGGAGGCAGCAGUGGGGAAUAUUGGACAAUGGGCGAAAGCCUGAUCCGGCAAUGCCGCGUGAGUGAAGAAGGCCUUCGGGUUGUAAAGCUCUUUUGUCAGGGAAGAAACGGUAGUAGCUAAUAUCUAUUACUAAUGACGGUACCUGAAGAAUAAGCACCGGCUAACUACGUGCCAGCAGCCGCGGUAAUACGUAGGGUGCAAGCGUUAAUCGGAAUUACUGGGCGUAAAGCGUGCGCAGGCGGUUGUGUAAGUCAGAUGUGAAAUCCCCGGGCUCAACCUGGGAAUUGCAUUUGAGACUGCACGGCUAGAGUGUGUCAGAGGGGGGUAGAAUUCCACGUGUAGCAGUGAAAUGCGUAGACAUGUGGAGGAAUACCGAUGGCGAAGGCAGCCCCCUGGGAUAACACUGACGCUCAUGCACGAAAGCGUGGGGAGCAAACAGGAUUAGAAACCCGUGUAGUCCUUGAC